UUUUCUUUCAAAAUUUUAUUUUAUUUUUAUAUAAAUUUGGUUUUGAAUUUACAAGUACUUUCCUCCAGCAGCCCCUCCACCUGCACAUUCGCACUCCGCAACCUCCAAUUUGGGUUUAAUUAUUCUGUGAUUGGGGAUAUUUUUAACUUGAUUUAUUAUUACAUAUGGAGGAUUUUUUAAAUCAGUUUUCUAUUUGGUUUUUAUUUUUUAGUAUUUUUCUUUUUGUUGUGAAUUUGUAGGAUGAAAUUAUUUUUCUGAGAUGCUUCUGUUUUUCUUGCUAUUUAAAGGUAAAAUCUUUCUGGCUUGUUGCUUAUACAAGUUAAUAAGAAAAGAAGGUUUAGUAAUUUUGGGCUUUGUAGAUGCUUUGAAAUUGAAACAUACAUAAUUGUUUAAGCUACCACUUUAUACUCUGCAGUCAAUUACAAGAGCUAUCAUUUAUGUUUUAUGGAGAAGCGAUUUUAUUAUGUGAGGUUCUCUUUGAAUCCAGAGCAGUGAGUGCUCUGUACUUGAGUAGUUUUAAAAAUAAAAAACAUAAGCUACUGUUUAUUGGAUAUUAGAAUAUUAAUGCUCUCAAUUGUAAUGUUUAUCUUUUAGUUGCUCUGCAUUGUAAUCCUACACGUCCUGGAGGCUGAUUUGCUCAUGUUGCUUGUGCAUACCAAUACUUGUAUCGCUCAUACGAAAAUCAAUGAAUCGAUCGGUUUUUACUAAUGAUGGAACUUGUGCUUAUUGGUUAUAUUUGGUUUCUGGGAUCACUAUCUAAUCCAUAGUUUGUAAUACACUUCAAUAUAUUUUUUUUUCUUUUUUGUGUUUUUGGGCUUUUACAUUUGGAUCUUUAUGAAUGUUUGGUUAAUUCAAAUUUUUAAUAUUAAUUUUCAAUUACAAGUUGGUACUUGGUUGCUUGACUUCUAACCCUUUUAUUAGCCCAUAUGAGGAAUUGGGUGCGUGCUGUAUUCUCUUUGUUGUGAUGGACUUUUGUUUGAAAUUUUUGUUGAAGUUCUUGUUUCACUAAAGUCUAAUUGCUUUGCUUUUUAAAUGGAAUUGAGUAUUUUGGGUUUCACUGUUUUUUUAGGAAUGGUCUCUUCGUGUACGGUUAGGUACACUAAUAUGGAAACAAAUGGUCCAAAGAUCCAAAUAGCCUAGGCAGAAAAUAGCUUUUGCGAAUCCAUUUCUGUCCUUUGCAGGUCGCUCAUGCUAUUUGUUAGAUCACCACCUAUAUUUCCAAGUACAACGACAAAUAUAUACAGGUUAAGUGAUUUAAUAACUUAAAUAAGUGUUAAUAUGCCCACCUUUAAGUGUAUUGUAGGAAUUGUAUCAACACUUUUUUUCUUGUUAAAAUGUUUUCUUUUUGUAAGUUACAAACUUAUAUAUGCAUUUGAACAACGUUUGGGUUACCUAAUCUUUUUUAUUGAGUGAAACAAUUUUUGAUAGGUAUGCUGGAAUUGAUUUCUUCCCAAAUCUAAAGCGCUAAGUAAUGGCGCCCAAUGAAUUAUCAAAUCUGAGGCACCAAGUAUUUAAAAAAUUUUAGACUAAUAUUAAUCCAGACUAUUCCAAUUCAGUUUACUCUGAAAGAGUUUUAAUUAUGGUGUUGGGGAUUUGUUAAUUUUGCUCUCUCUAUGUGUGAUUUGGUUGGGAUUGCAGAGUGACUUGGGUUUCUUUGUAUGCAUGUCCCGGACCUUCAGGUCACAUGGGGUACUCAGCAAGGUUCUACUUUUGCAAAGGAGAUGGAGAUGUUACAGAAUUACAGUGAUACUGUAAUCCAAAUAAUCUAUUUCGAAAAUCCAACUAAUAUCUCUUAACUUACCAACCGAAUCGAUCUCCUUUGACUAGCUAGAGUAUCUUGGUUGGGCACUCUAUCCGUUCCCAGGGCCUAGUUUCCAAAGAUGAUGUUGAGACAGGUUGGGAACUCUCUCUUUCUCUCCUUUUGUUUUAGUUCCCAAGAAAGUUGAUUGGAUUGAAGAAAAUGGAACAAAAAGAAAUGAAAAAAAAAAUUGAAAUUUGUUGGUGCUCCCGAUGAUGUUGAAUUUGUAAUAUAUUAAGACCCAAAAACUGAGGGAUUUUUCGGUGUACCCGGCACACCAAAAAAAUUUGGUGUACCCUCACUCAUAAUGGUGAGGGUGCACCAAAAAAAUUUGGUGCACCCUCACUUUUUGUACACCAAAAAAAUUUUAAUGAGUGAGGGUACACCAAAAAAAUUUGGUGUACCCGGCACAACUAAAAAUUUUCCCCAAAAACUAGAUAAAUGGCUAACUUUGAUGUAAAUUGAUAACAGCAAGCCACUAGGUCAAAAAACAGUGAGUCUGACCUUAGAGUUUUUGGGGAUAUCAUAAUUGAUAACCAUAUCCACUGAUCGAAUAUCCAAUCUUCUACUUGCCGCAUCAAUUCUUCAUGCGUGAAAUGUUAGAGACUCAUUAAUUUAUCUAUUUGCAAGUAUAUGAUUUUUAUGCAGGUUCUAGGAAACAAUAAAACUGUAAAGGCAUAAUUUGUGUAUAUUUUAGUCAUUUAAUACAUGUAUGAGUGUAAAACAAUAAAACUAUGAAGGCAUAAUUUGGGAUUUAGGUUUGUAUAUAACAAUGAUUAGGUUUUCUUUCAGUAUCACUUUUCUUACUUGAGAUUAAAUGUGUAUUUCUACAUAUAGUUGUACAAUAGAUUUUCUUUUGCUCCAUGUGCUUAUGUAUAUGCAGAAAGAGAUAGCAAUUAGUGGUUCAUGCAUUAGAAGCAAUAUUUCACUCUCAAAAGACUGCGUUUGGAGGUCUUCAAGGAGAAGUGAAGUCUUUCAAUUGACAAAUUUUUUUGUUAUUAGAGGCCUAUUUGGUAUUUCAUGUGUAGUUUGAUAUUGACCUUAGCUUUGUUCAACUUGUAAUACAUUUUGACAAUAUGAUUAUUUAUGAAAUAAUUGUAUUAUAGUAAAA